UUCCCUAUAGCCGGUUCUCUACCACAGCCACACAGUCAGCUUCUGAAACACAGACCUUGCUGUCGCCCUCUCCUUUGCAAGCAUCCUGUGGCUGCACAUUCUCACCCCUCCGGGACCAGGAGCACCCACAACACCUGGGAACUGACUGGCGUCUGGUGUGUUCAUGAACUCAGGCAGGAGCAGACCUUAGCACAAUGCCUGGCACAGAGUGGGCACUCAGGGAGCGUUUGCUGAUGAGAGGACAUGAGAUCUAUGAGCGCCUCAUACAUUUGAGAUCAUUCUACAGUGUGUGUGGACAGUUUCCUACCUCAGAGAGGCUUACUUAAAGACUCCUAACCUCUACCCACUCGCCACAGCCUGAUGGAGUGGGGAACUGGAGAGCAACAGAAGAUCUGUUUCUGAAGUGAAAAAUAGGCCGCAUUUUGAAAAAAAAUCAGCUCGGUUGGUUGCUUGUUAAUUUACUUGUGCUCUACCUGCUUCUGACCUCAAUUAAUCCUCAGAAUGACCUUGUGAUGUCAGGGUUAUCAGGCCCACUUUCCAAAUGAUAUCUUUAAAACAGCAGGAGAUUAGGAAGCCACCCCAAGGCCCCGCAGCCUGUGUGCCUCACUGUUCUGAUUUAGAGCAAUGGACUCCCUUACCUGCACUGGGAAGCAUGAAACCACGAGGGAUGCUGGGCCCUCAAAGAAGCAUGUGUGCAGGGAUCUCGGUAGAUGGGGUACUCACACGCUCUCCCCUGCUGAAUCUCAAACAAGUUCAUCCAGUUGGAGGGACCUCUCUUUCUCUCUUUGGUCAUCUAUUUCUUGGUUGGGACAUGUUUUGGGGAAGAAGCUGGCCCACCUACAUUUGUGGGAGUAUGUGUGGGGAGGUGUGAACCUGGAACUAAUACCUAGAAUAAAUACACAAACCACCUGUAGUGUCUGAAAGAUAGCUACAAAUUCUUUGACCACCAUUCAAGAGGAAGGACCUAUGUUCCUCCCCUUAUAUCUGGCCAGGUCAGACCAUAGACUAGUAUUACACAGUGAAGUUGUACCCAAUUUCAGGUCAAGACCUUAGGAGACUGGAAGUCUCACAGUCUGUCUCUUGGAGUACCUGCUCUGAGCGCCUGGCUGCCAUGCUGUGAGGGAGCCCAAGCAGCUAUCUGGUCAGGACCAUUUGAAAUAAUGGAGACCAACGAUUUAUAGCCCCAGCUGAGCCCUUAGCCACCAGGGAGCAGCAACCUGCUGGGAAUGAGUCAUCUUGUAAGUGAGUCCCUCCAUCCUACUUAUACCUCCCCAACUAAUGCUGCCUGGAGCUGAGGUGAGCCAACCCACAGAAGCCCUGCCCAGACUGCAAAGUUGUGAGCAAAGUAACAGGUUGUGAUUUUAAGCCACUUCAUUUUGGAAUGGUUUGAAUGUAAUGUAUCAUUAGAUAACCAGAUAACCAGACGAGCUGAUCCUCUAAGGUGAAUUAUAUGGGAUACAA